rnacentral:ncRNA from 1 species
AACUUAUCAAGAAAGACCGAGGGAAAGGCCCUGUGAAGUCUUAGCAACCUAUACACCCAAAUUGUAAAAGGUGCUAACUCCUAUCCACUUUAAGCGGAAAAGAUAAGUG